GGUGAAGUCGUAACAAGGUAACCGUAGGGGAACCUGCGGUUGGAUCACCUCCUUACCUUAAAGAA
rnacentral:rRNA from 9 species